rfam:Pseudomonas sp. HPB0071 genomic scaffold aczIi-supercont1.1, whole genome shotgun sequence.
GUAGCGGACACCGUAAGGUUCUUGCCAUUGGCAGGCUGAAUUCGCACCUUGCAUUGCAGGGUGCACCCGGCGAAGCCGGUUAAAACAAAACAGCCGGUGGUCUUCACCGGU